GUUUUAAAAAGACUUCUUACAAGCAGUGUUGAAAACAGAACCAGUAUUAGUCAAUCUUGUGACAGUCACAUGUUUAAUUAGAUAUUUGGACUGUAUGCUUACCAGAAUGCUUAAGCCUGUCUUGAAGAGAUGCUAACACAUUUAUUUAAAAACUGCUGUUUUAGUUUUGUAUACAAAGGUUGUUUCUGUCUGACCCUUGACCUUUCCAAACCCAACUACAUUUCCUUUCUUAGGACACCAUAAAGUCUUUCUACCCAUUUGAAGGGGGGGGGGGG